rnacentral:tRNA from 1 species
GCCUCGGUAGCUCAGCUGGUAGAGCAGCGGAUUGAAAAUCCGCGUGUCGCCGGUCCGAUCCCGGCCUGAGGCACCA